GUGUCCACUUCAGCAGCACAUACAAUAAAAUUGAAACAAUACAGAGAAGAUUAGCAUGGACCCUGCACAAAGAUGACACAAAUUCAUGAAGCAUUCCAUAUUUUU
rnacentral:snRNA from 1 species